UUUGGCUUUCGGUUGAAGAAACCCAAAAGCCGCUAAUGUUGCCUGUUAAACAAACUCAGCAGCCGUUUUCUUUCCCCCAUUCAUCACGUCGAUUUUACUAUUUUUUUCCUUAGUCAUUUGUUUUCCAGUAAAAGCAGUGCCUUUCCAUAGUUUCAAACAAAAUCAUGCUCUUCUAUUUCUUUCAUUGUUAAGCCUCUUCUUAGAAAAUUCUCCACCCAAUUAAUAGUGCCAAAAAAUCACAUCAACUUUCACAAAUACAUAAAUUAAUCAACAUAAGCGAAGAAUUCCACCCGUCUAUUGACCUGUUUCAAAUCAAAACUUUAAGAUUUUCAAUUCCAAUAGUAGCAAAGGCAGAGAAUAAAUUAAUGCAAGAGAAGAAGGUGAUAUCAUCUGUUAGAAGAAAAAAGAAGGUGUGAAAGAAAAAAAAAGAAUAACAUUGGAUGAACUGAAAAAAGUUGAUGACCUACAAAAAAAAAAGAUACCACCAGAGGAAUUUGGAAUCUUCUUUACUUGAAUGUAGUUGUUCAUAGGUGAGGAACCUUAAACUCCAUAAUGAAAGACUACUUUGUAUGUGA